rnacentral:lncRNA from 1 species
GGUUGGAUAAUGGGAGCAGAUUUCUUUUUUCUUUUUUUUUGAGACGGAGUAUUGCUCUGUUGCCCAGGCUGGAGUGCAGUGCCACGAUCUCGGCUCACUGAAACCUCUGCCUCCUGGGUUCAAGCGAUUGUUUUGCCUCAGCCUCCUGAGUAACUGGGAUUACAGGCGUGCACCACAACACCCAGCUAAUUUUUUGUAUUUUUAGUAGAGAUGGAGUUUCACCAAGUUGGCCAGCCUGAUCUUGAACUCCUGACCUCAAGGGAUCCACCUGCCUCGGCCUCCCAAAGUGCUGGGAUUACAGGCGUGAGCCACCGCGCCUGGCCUGGGAGCACAUUUCUUAUUAAUGGUUUAGUACCAUCCCCUUGGUGCUGUCCUCGCAAUAAUGAGUGAAUUCUCACAAGAUCUGAUUGUUUAAAAGCGUGUGCUGCCUCCCCUCCUCUCUCCCUCCUGCUCCUGCCUUGCCAUUGACUUGCCUGCUCCCUCUCCACCUUCCACCUGAUUGUAAGUUUCCUGAGGCUUCCCUAGAAGCUGAGUGGAUGCCAACACCAUUCUUCGUGUCCAGCCUGCAGAAUCAUGAGCCUAUCAAACCUCUUUUCUUUACAAAUCACCCAAUCUGUUAUUUCUUUAGAGCAACGCAAGGACCGACUAAUAUAGUUGGGUUCUGUGAAGUUCAGCCACCUUGAAUAUAUGUGACUGAAUACACAUACCACUGAAUAUAACAUACACUUCUUCACAGACAGAGACAACCAGCAUUUGUCUGUCCCCUUUAGAAAUAUUAAUCAUAAUGUUAUAAUGUUGACUGUCCUGAAAGGGAUUGUGACAAAUUUUCUAUUUGUUACCUGUUUUUGGUUUGUUUUUGCUUUUUUUUUUUUUUUUUUUUUGACAGGUCUCGCUGUGUCACCCUGGCUGAAGUGCAGUGGCUAUUCACAGGCAUCAUCGUGAAUACUACAGCCUUAAACUCCUGGCCUCAAGUGAUCCUCCUGCCUCAGCCUGCUGAGUAGCUGGGACUGCAGGCACACACUACUGAGCCUAGAUUUGCUACCUGGUUUUUACUGGAAAUAGGUGAAAUCAGCAAGGAAUUAGUGCAGAUAUGAUUGGGCAUGGUCAUUUUAGUUGAAGGAAGAGCAUGAAGAAAAACACUCUCCAGCAAAGGCAAAAAGUCUGAGCAAUGGUCUCAGAGCAAUGGACAGCAAUGGACAGAGAGCAAUGGACAAAUAGACAGCAGUGGGCAAAAAGACCAGAGUCCAUUAGGGAGAUGCAAAAGGAUGUCAAAUGUUGGCAAGUGGCUGAGGAUGGACCAUCCUGUCCUUAAUUUGGGGAGUCAAAGACCUGAUGAGGGGUCACUAAGCAAUAAAAGGCAAUAGAGGAUCAUUUUUAGAUCAGCACCAUCAGAGUCAGACAAAUCUCAACCCUACUUCUGCCUGUGAAUUUCUGCCAGCAGUAGGUUAACUAUUUACCUACAUGUCUGCAAACCACCUACACAUAUCCCCCAAAGUCUACCCUAAAUGUACGCCCAACUCAAUGACCCUGAGCCAGAUCCCCUAAAUGCCAUGGCCACUCCAGUGCCACCUGACCAGAAGGGAAGUGAGACAGAGAGACGUCUGAAUGGAAAGAAGCAGCAUCUUAACUGCUAAAAUAUCUAACUUUUGCAAAGUGUACAGAAGCAAAUGACCAUGGGAACACAUUGCUGUGGCUCCUGUAGCCCUCUGCACAUGGAAGAGGUGACAACUAUAGCCUGCAGCCUCCUGGCAGUAAGAGCUGGAAAGAUGUCCCUAGACCCCAGUCAUUUAGGAGAAAGGAGACCUAAGUGCUUCUUAGGAUAACUCUAGGCAGCCUGGGGAAGGAGAAGACAACCACCAACUGGUGAAAGUGAAAGGAAAAGAUGGGGGCUCCUGUGGAUAUGAGUCUAUUAAAUGCAACAAGCAUGCAUUGAGCAGCCUGAUGUGCACAUGCUGGACUCAAGCUUAAAAGGUGAAAGGUAGUCCCUGCAUUAUAGUGGUUGAAUCUAGAGCUUGCAAACUUAGACCCCACUGGAGGGCUGGAAAAAAACAGGACAAGCUAAAGAGGCAGGGACAAUGGCAAGUGCUUUGGUGUCUCUGGCUCUUGUCAAGUGUUGCUAAGUGAUGGGGCUGGUGUCAUGGGCAAGCCACCAGUACAGUUGCACAGGGCUCUGGGCUCAGAAGGGUCCCUCAGUUGGGUUUUACUGCUCUUAAUUUAAUUUAUUUUAUUAUUAAAUUUUAUCUUUGAGUUUGUGUUUUGUAAGUGAGGUCUGUUGAGACAAUAGAGCAUGCAUGGGGACUUGGAACCUCAGCUCCUCCGUGACUGUCUUUCAUCACCUCUCCAGUUCUUGGCCUCCUUCUUUUCACCCUCUGACUUCUCAGGCCCUAUCUAGCCUUCCUUUUCCUGCUCCUGCCCAGAAACAACUGCUGCUGCCGUUCCCCCUGGGUGUCAAUUAAGUCAAAUCACCAGGAUGCGCAAUAAGGGGGACCCAAUGUUCUUCCAUCCCUCUCUGCUUUCAGUGGGGAUCCAGGAGUAGGCACCAGGAGGGUUGGGGUCUCAGAGCAGGGCAAGACAGUGACCAUCCCCACCCUGAUCUGGGUGACUCAGUGCAGGUGAGCCUCGCAUUCACCCUCAAUGCAACUACUGAGUGUGAUUCAGGGUGGGAUUGCUGUCAGCAGUGGGUUAGGGCUGCAGGAUGGUGAGAAUGGGGAGCAGAGUUUAUGGGAUGGAUGACUCCACAGCUGGUGGGCCGUGCUCACGAGUGGACAAGUUCAUUGAGUCCCCCUGCACAAAGAGUCCCCUACAUCUGUGAGGGGCUGCACCAGCCCCAGAGAAACUGCACGCCCAAGAGGAGCAUGGCUAGCAAAUAGAAAGCACCAUUAUAGGUCCAGAGGCUGCAGAAGAAAGGGCAACGUUUUACAUGCUAGUACUUUAACAGCACUUUCCCCCUGCAUUUGGAACAGGGGGACUUGCAUUUUCAUUGUGCACUGGACCUUGCAAAUGAUGGAACCAGCUCUGCUCAGUGGGUGUCUCAGUCCCAUUAUGCUGCUAUAACAGAACAUCAUAAACUGGGUGCCUUAUUGUCUUAGUCCAUUCUAUGCUGCUAUAAAAGAAUACCAGAGACUGAGUAGUUUAUAAUGAACAGAAAUUUAUUGGCUCAGGGUUCUGGAGCUAGGAAUCCAAGAUUGAGGGUCUGGCAUCUGGUGAGGGCCUUCUUAUCACAUCAUAACAUGGUGGAAGGCAUCACCUGGAAGAAAGGCAAAAGAAAGAGCAUGAGAGACAGAAAAGGAGCCAAACUUGUCAUUUUAUAAGAAACUCACUUCCACAGUGACAAACCCACUCCCAUAAUAAUGGCAUUAAUGCAUUCAUUCCACCUUCAUGGCUUAAUCACCUCUCAUUAGUCCCCAUAUCCCAGCACUGUUGUAUUUGAGAUUACAUUACCAACACAUGAUUUUUUAGGGGACACACUCUAACCAUAGCAUCUAUAAACAAUAGAAUUUGUUUUUCUCAUGGUUCUGGAGGCUGGGAAGUCCAAGACCAAGGCAAUGGUAGAUUCAGUGUCUGGUGAGAACCCACUUCUUGGUUACUUCUUGGUUCAUGGACAACUGUCUUCUUCUGAGCCCUCACAUGGUAGAAGGGAUGAAGGAGCUCUCCUGCAUUUGGAACAGGGGGACCUCUUUUUUUUUUUUUUUUUUCCCAAAUACAGAUUGUUGCUCUGUCGCCCAGAGUUGGAGUGCAAUGGCGUGAUCUUGGCUCACUGCAACCUCCACCUCCUGGGUUCAAGCAAUUCUCCUGCCUCAGCCUUCCAAGUAGCUGAGAUUACAGGCACGUGCCACCAUCCCUGGCUAAUUCUUGUAUUUUUAGUAGAGACGGGGUUUUACCAUGUUGGCCAGGUUGGUCUCAAACUCCUGACCUAAGGGCAGUAAUCCCACUUAUUAGGGCUACAUUGUCAUGACUUAAUCACCUCCCAAAGACCUCACCUCCUAAUACCAUCACCUUGAGGUUUAGAAUUUCAGGGAAUUUUGGGGAGACACAGACAUUCAGAUCAUAGUAGUGGAAAUGCAAGUUGAGUGUUAGAUUUAUGACCUACCAAACAAAAGGAGUGAAACUGAAAUUCUUUGUAAAUUUCCUUAAUUCUAAAUGUCGGCAGUGGCUUUUUUGUUUUUGUAAUAUUGUACAAGCUACAAAUUCCAAUGACUAAGUUGUACUGAUAAUUUUAUGAUACAUAUGUGUCAGUCAGCUUUACCUGUUGAAAAGGUGCCUAUUCAUAUUUAUUGUCCAUUUUAAUUGUUUUUGUCUUUUCAACUUGUAAGUCAUUUUAUCUAUUCUAUUACCAGCCUUUUAUCUGUUAAAUGCAUUUAAAAUCUUAUUCUAUUUAUAAUUUUUCUUUUGACUGUGUUCCUUAUAUCUCUAACAAAUACAAAAAAUGUCAAAAACCCUGUUAAUUUUUCUGUAGUGAAACAGAUACUUCUUUUAAAGCCUCUGAGUUAUCUGCUUUUAAAAGAUCUCUACAACCUUUUUAAAAGAUCUUUCUAAAGAUCUUAAGAGAUCUUUUUAAAAGAUCUCUACAACCUUUUCUUAUAAAGAUAUUCUGCAAUCUAUUUUUCUAAGCUUAUAUUGUUUUAUUUUUACAUUAAAAUGUUUAAUAUACCCCAAAUUUAUUUUUGCAUAUGAUGUGAAGUAAUGCUGACUUUAUUUUCUUUCAAAAGGAGAGUCAGUUUUUCCUAUACCAUUUCUAAAAUAAUUAUUUUCCGCUGAAUUGGAGCUUUGCCUCUGUUAUAUACUAAAUUACCUUGCCUACUAGGAUUUCUUUAUGGACUCUCUGUUGGUCCACUAAUGAAAACCCUAAUGAUUCUCAUGGCUUUAACCACCCUCUCUAUUAAAUUGACUAUAUUCACAUAUAUAUACACACACACACACACACAUACAUACACAUAUAUUUAGCGUGUACAUACAUACAUAUAUAUAUAGGGUGUAUAUAUAAUUAUUUAUAGAUAAUACACACACACAUCUGGAAGGAAUCUCCAAAUUGGCCAUUCCAAUUCCUUCUUUUUACAAACAAGACCUGAGGCCUGGAGAUGGUAGGUGAUGUAGCCAGGAGGCAGAACUGAGAUUCAGCCUAAAGACCUCUUCAGCAAGGCACUUGUUCUACGACUUCACAGUGCCUCUCACCAGAGAGGUGUCCUUAAACACACAGAAGAGUUAAGAACUUUCAACCUGUGCUCUGCAAUGACUUUUCUUGACAAGAGUAUAUAGAGCUACUUUUAGCUCUAUAUCUCUAUAUUCUAUUUGGGCCCCAAUAAUUGGAAAUCGAUAUAAUUUCUCACUGUCCUGAACUGUAUGUUUAUGAAUGCCAG